rnacentral:lncRNA from 1 species
GUAUAGACAGGCAGGAAGUGACGUAGCUGGUCAGGUCACCCUGAUAUAAUCAGGGACAAAUAGGAAAUCACUCUCUUCUCUGCAGACUUGCUGAGAAGUCGACAUGUAGAAUGGCAGAGGAGUAACAGGUCCCUGAAUCUUUCUCUGGAAAGAGAAGACCACGUGGGAAUACUUGGAUUAAUAAUGAUGGGUCUCAUCACCUCGGAAAGAUGCUGCAGGCUGUAACCACACGUGGAGAUCAGACACAUUACAGCUCUCCAUAGCAAGGCGUUCACAUGCAGAUUUUAGAGGAGCACAGUAUCUACUCCGUUUCGGAAAGAGAGCAUCAACUUCCUCCACUCCACACACUUUGCUCAAAGGACAUACUCAUAGAAAAUGGAAAGGAGCAGGUUUUGCAAAGGUUGGAAAUGCGUUCUGGGUUCUGGUUGCUGCUGAGUGAGGGAACGGGCCGUUCCUGUUUGGACCAGGUGGUGGCGCUGCAGGCAAAUAGUGCGGCGAACCCAUCUUGGGAUGUGCUGCCUGCCCAAAGAUGGUUUCAAAGCCCCGUGUGAGCAUCAGAGAGCGGGGACUUGCU